rnacentral:rRNA from 1 species
UACGAAGGGGGCUAGCGUUGUUCGGAAUCACUGGGCGUAAAGGCGCGUAGGCGGCCGAUCAAGUCGGGGUGAAAGCCUGUGGCUCAACCACAGAAUUGCCUUCGAUACUGUUUGGCUUGAGACCGGAAGAGGUUAGUGGAACUGCGAGUGUAGAGGUGAAAUUCGUAGAUAUUCGCAAGAACACCAGUGGCGAAGGCGGCUGACUGUCCGGUUCUGACGCUGAGGCGCGAAAGCGUGGGGAGC